rnacentral:rRNA from 1 species
UACGGAGGGUGCAAGCGUUAUCCGGAUUUACUGGGUUUAAAGGGUGUGUAGGCGGGCUUUUAAGUCAGUGGUGAAAUCUCCGGGCUCAACCUGGAAACUGCCAUUGAUACUAUUAGUCUUGAAUUUUGUUGAGGUAGGCGGAAUAAGUCAUGUAGCGGUGAAAUGCAUAGAUAUGACUUAGAACACCAAUUGCGAAGGCAGCUUGCUAAACAAAUAUUGACGCUGAGGAACGAAAGCGUGGGGAUCAAACAGG